rnacentral:siRNA from 1 species
ACGUCCUGCCAAACCCGUCCAGCA